AAGAAGGAAAUAUGGAAAAGAGGGAGGGUGCAGGCCCAUGCAUGAGGAGUGUGAAUAAGCAAUCCGUUUGGGGCCUUAGGCCUAAACAACCAAGGUAUCCAUGAGCAGAAACCGAGUCCAACCACCUAAGCUGAAGCAAAAAAAGGAAAAAAUUGCUUAUUUUCCAAAAGCAGCAAUGUGUUCUCGGAUCGAGUUCAACCUUCGGCUUCACGUUGUCCAUGCGAUGCAAUUCCAAAUCCCAAACGCGAUGAAUAAAAGUUCAGUGCGCCACAAACACGAUGCAAAGCUUCAAGCCUCAAAUCAAAUGCCACAGCUUCUUCUUCAUACACGAAAUCGAAGAUGAACCACAACGAACACGAUGAAUUCAACGACGAACACGACGAACUCAACAUUCAAUCAACGUCAACCUCCAAUCGUGAUUCAAACUCUAUGUGCACGGAAUCGAAAUGAAAACGGAAAGAAAACGACGAAGACUCACUGAAUCGGAACAUGUGUUUGAAAUGCAAGUCUUUAGCUACUGUUAUGCUCGAGUUUGGACAUGGAAACUGACUUGAGCUCAUGGAGCUCGUGAAAUUCGCCAUUGGAGCUUGGGCUGUUUUGUUAUGGUUCUGAGUUUUGUAUGAGCAGACAUGGGUUGUGGAAUGGCUAGGAUGGUUUUUAGUGCAUUGGCUUGGUGUAUUGGAUCAUGGUUGCUGUUGUAAUGCAUUGGCUAUUGGUUUGGCUUUGGGAUUGGAUUAGAUGUUGAAUGUUUUUUUAGGGUUCAUUGUUGUAGUGAAUGUAAUUGGAAUUUUGUAUGAAAAUUGAAUUGUAGGUGAAUGUAUAUUGGAAUUGUUGUAGUUGGAAAUGGUUGUAAUGUAUUUAUGGAAUUGUAAUAUGAUGAACUUGUACGAAAGUGUUGAAUUGAAAUGUAAUAAAAAUGGUUGUGUAAUGAGA